CGCACCGGCAAGUCAAAAAAAAAAACAAAUGCAGCAGCAAACCCGAAAAUGACGCGCAACUCGCUUUGAGGCUGCUUGUCUUCGCAUCACUAGCGCUCGCACUCCUUCUUUCCCCCUCCUAUCUCACAUUCGCAAGUCACAGCUCGCACAUUGUGUGCACCGAAGCCGUUGGUGCCUCCACGCCUCUUGCGCCCAUCUACCAGCGUGUUUUCGUAUCUCGGUGCCUGUGCAUGGGGGCUCAUCUUUCACCCACGUCGCACAGUGCCUCACAUCACCUUUUCCUUUUGGCUUACUUUCUUUCCCUCUUUUCUUGUUACUACUCUGAUGACGAGGACUACCCCAGCGUGACAUCACAGGGUCCAGCGCCCUCACUCUGUGUGUGGGGACGCCAAGCGACCCCUCCCCCUUAUCCCUGCCAAUGCCGAAGCACCUCUGGCGGUGACAGGGUCAAGCACCUACAACCCAAAGGGGGGGGUGAGGGGAGGCCAGUGCGAUUCAUUGCUGCUGAUGUCGGCUGGUCAGGUCCUGGACGGCGUGGCGUCGGAGCGACCUGCCACAGCGAACACGCCUGUGCCAUCCACAUGAUGGGCGAAGCGUCAGCGUGGCUCGAGCGUAUCCCACCCCCGGCCGUCACACUGCCUGCUGGUGCGGGGAGCCCUGAGCGGCACCCUGAGGGGGCAGCAUUUGGGCCAGAGGCCGUUCUCCGAUGGCUGGGCCGGCGCACUGCUGUACGGGCUUGUGUCUCCGGCUGCUUCGCACCAGGUGAAAUGGACCCUGUGGCAGGGCCGGGGGCAGCAGAGUAGAGUGGCGUCGUACUCCUGCUCCACGGCAGAGAAUGGGCACACGUUGGAGAGGAAGGAAAAACCUGUAUGCACCUCAACGUGUGCAAGGACUGAGCGUUUCUCUCUCUCCUUCCCACGGCUGCUUGUUGAAUCACACGCCCCUGUGUGGAGAUGGCGAACAUUUGUCGCACAAGGGCGCGUGGUUAGAGAUGCGACACGGAGAUGCCGAGUAUGCGGCGAGUAGGGAAGGAUUAUACAGUGCGCAACAAAACUGAAGUGCAGGCGAUAGCUAUGCUGUGUGGAAACGGGGCACUUUUUUUGUUGUCGCGAGCGCAGCCGUGCCGUAGAAG
rnacentral:misc_RNA from 1 species